rnacentral:lncRNA from 1 species
GAGCCUAAAUCUUUGCCCGAACUCGACUCGGUUAAUUUCACGAGCCGGCUCGUUUAGCUAAACGAGCCGGUUUUAACGAGCCGAGCGAGCCAGCUCGUAUAAUUUUACACUUAAUCGAGCCCAAACCUCUACCCGAACUCGGCUCGUUUAAUUUCACGAGUCGAGUCGAGCCGGCUCGUUUAAUUAAACGAGCUGAAACCUUUGCCCGAACUCGGCUUGUUUAACGAGUCGAGUCGAGCCCACUUAAACGAGUUCGAGCCGGGCGAGCUCGCGAGCCGCCCGACUUAAACCUCUACCCGAACUCGGCUCGUUUAAUUUCACGAGUCGAGUCGAGCCGGCUCGUUUAAUUAAACGAGCCGAAACCUUUACCCGAACUCGGCUCGUUUAACGAGUCGAGCCGAGCCGAGCCC